GUACAUGUGCAGGUGAGAGGACGGAAUACUACCUUUGCAACGAGCACUGUAUAACGUAAACACUUUACCCAGCUGCAUGUAUUUAAGGCCCAUGCACCAGGUGGACAGUACCGAUCGUUUUGCACAAACACGCACAAGCAUCUCGCGCUGUCCUGAUCAACCGACGCUGCCGUGCCGCGAUGUUCCAGAGCUCAUCUUCUGCUCAUCAUCUCCAGACACCCCCGCCACCGCUGCCAUUGAUCUUGUGCACGAGGUGCGCCUGGACGAGGACUAGGGAAGUGCUGCACAAAUUCACCAAACUUCUAAAAUUUAGUUAUACUAAGUAUAGCUUUCCUUUUGCAUUGUCUGAACAUUAAAAAAUGUCACCAUCCCGACAGAGAAUCAGCGACCAGAAUAACAUUGACCAAAAGAACUUACUCAUGCAAGUGCGCUGGUUCUUAUUACUAGCAAAUCAAGGCUUAUUGUCAAUGAAAUUUAACCAGGAUAUAUACUGCAGGGGCACGGGUACUUUUGCAACGCUUCUGCAACCUCGCGCACCACCGGAGGGUGUGCCGCUCCGGCUGAUCUGCAGUUUCGGCACGCAGCCAGCUGGUAAGGACGAGAGAAUAUGGAAAACAGGGACAUCACAGCCCAUCCGCCGACAGCAGGCAGAGAAGAAGAGGGCAGAGUUUUGCUCACCCUGCGCCCAACGCCGGCGUCGUUGCUCCCAGAAUCGCCAUGACUACAUCCAGACGGACCUCGAGCGGCCCGAACGCAAAUAAUUAGUGCGGACGGAGG
rnacentral:lncRNA from 1 species